UUCGGGAGCCCGAAGACAGGUGGCUGCAUGGCUGUCGUCAGCUCGUGUCGUGAGAUGUUGGGUUAAGUCCCGCAACGAGCGCAACCCUUGUCCUUAGUUGCCAGCAUUCAGUUGGGCACUCUAAGGAGACUGCCGGUGUCAAACCGGAGGAAGUGGGGAUGACGUCAAGUCCUCAUGGCCCUUAUGUCCAGGGCUACACACGUGCUACAAUGGCCGGUACAAAGGGGCGCAAGACCGCGAGGUGGAGCAAAUCCCAAAAAACCGGUCUCAGUUCGGAUUGGAGUCUGCAACUCGACUCCAUGAAGUUGGAAUCGCUAGUAAUCGCGUAUCAGCAUGACGCGGUGAAUACGUUCCCGGGCCUU
rnacentral:rRNA from 1 species